rnacentral:lncRNA from 1 species
CCGGCGCCAAAUAUUCCUUGUUUGUUCCUUGCCCCCCUCUCUUAAAAUCACAGAGCAGCCCAGUUUUUGUUGUUCUGUUUAAAAAAGAAAAAAAAAAAAAAAAACCCUGCAGCUGUGCAGCUAACAAAAACACUUCACUUCUCAUUAAUUCUCAUUAACAGACCAAUUAACUGACUCUUCUUUCUUCUGUAUUUUGGUUGAACUAGAGCUAGCUAGCUCUUUUGCAAUUUGCGUGAUGGAGAAUGGUUUCUCCUCUCCAAGAAACGACACCUUUAAUCCUGCCGGUCUCCGCGUUCUUGUUGUUGAUGAUGAUCUAGCGUGGCUCAAAAUUCUUGAAAAGAUGCUCAAAAAGUGUUCCUAUGAAGGUUCGUGGUCACAGUUAAAUUUCAGAUUUUACUUUACUUUGUUACUGUUGUUAUUACUUGGUUUGCUUUAACUGUAUGAUAUAUCCACUUCCUCAUCUGCGUUUCUUGUUUUUUCUUAAUGAUCUUCGACUGCUCACUGAACUAAUUUGCUACAUCAAGUUCUUAUAAUUUCUUUUGUUAUAAUUGCUGACCCGUGAGACCUUUUUUUUUCCCUCCUCCGCCUGCAUGGAUUAUUAGUUUUAAAAAAAAAAAAAAAAAAAAAAAACACCCUGCAGCUGUGCAGCUAACAAAAACACUUCACUUCUCAUUAAUUCUCAUUAACAGACCAAUUAACUGACUCUUCUUUCUUCUGUAUUUUGGUUGAACUAGAGCUAGCUAGCUCUUUUGCAAUUUGCGUGAUGGAGAAUGGUUUCUCCUCUCCAAGAAACGACACCUUUAAUCCUGCCGGUCUCCGCGUUCUUGUUGUUGAUGAUGAUCUAGCGUGGCUCAAAAUUCUUGAAAAGAUGCUCAAAAAGUGUUCCUAUGAAGGUUCGUGGUCACAGUUAAAUUUCAGAUUUUACUUUACUUUGUUACUGUUGUUAUUACUUGGUUUGCUUUAACUGUAUGAUAUAUCCACUUCCUCAUCUGCGUUUCUUGUUUUUUCUUAAUGAUCUUCGACUGCUCACUGAACUAAUUUGCUACAUCAAGUUCUUAUAAUUUCUUUUGUUAUAAUUGCUGACCCGUGAGACCUUUUUUUUUCCCUCCUCCGCCUGCAUGGAUUAUUAGUGAAGUUUCAAAAAAUGGCUUGUGAGGCUUUGCUUUUUAUUUUUUAUUUUUUCCUUGUUUUUGUUUUGGUUGAGUUUUUGAAAUUUGCUUCAAUAUUAUGCAAUUAGUUUAUGUAGACCUCAAAAUCGAGCUUUGCGUGUAUUUCUGAUUUACCAAUAAAAAAAGUGGAAGAAAUGAAGUUCGGUUUGAUGUUAAGGUUAUGAUAACCAUUGUUGUUUUGUAAUUUCUUCUUGUUCUUCUUUGUUUUUAUGCCUUUUUUGGUAAUUUUAUGUGAUGGUUUCUUGCAAAAGGCAAGGAUUUUCUAGAUGCAAGGCUCAAAUUUGUGAGCUUAUUCAUCUAGUUUUGGGUAAAAAUAUAUAAGUGAGAAUGUAAUGAAUUCAGAAGGAUAAGUGAGAAUGUAAUGAAUUCAGAAGGAAAAAAAAAAAAAGUGAAUAUAUAGUUCAAUUAAGCAUAUUAUUUGAAGCUUCUUUUCAAUUAAUUGCUAGGUUUGGUCCAUGUGCUGAGCAGUUUAUAGUCAUGGAAGCAUGUUUGCUAGUUCUUGGUAUGAUAUGUUGAUUUCUGAAUGGAUAGACCACUAUCACCCG